UGGUGUGUACUCAAGUGCAAGCAGGUU
rnacentral:piRNA from 1 species